rnacentral:rRNA from 1 species
AUUGAACGCUGGCGGCAUGCCUUACACAUGCAAGUCGAACGGUAACAGGUCUUCGGUUGCUGACGAGUGGCGAACGGGUGAGUAAUACAUCGGAACGUGCCCAGACGUUGGGGAUAACGAGGCGAAAGCUUUGCUAAUACCGCAUACGAUCUAAGGAUGAAAGCAGGGGACCGCAGGCCUUGUUCGCUUCGAGCGGGCGAUGGCAGAUUAGGUAGUUGGUGGGAUAAAAGCUUACCAAGCCGACGAUCUGUAGCUGGUCUGAGAGGACGACCAGCCACACUGGGACUGAGACACGGCCCAGACUCCUACGGGAGGCAGCAGUGGGGAAUUUUGGACAAUGGGCGAAAGCCUGAUCCAGCAAUGCCGCGUGCAGGAUGAAGGCCUUCGGGUUGUAAACUGCUUUUGUACGGAACGAAAAGGCUCUGGCUAAUACCUGGGGCACAUGACGGUACCGUAAGAAUAAGCACCGGCUAACUACGUG